rnacentral:hammerhead_ribozyme from 1 species
GUACUGCUGAGGAGUCCCACAAUAGGACGAAACGGCCGUCCAGUAU